AACGAACGCUGGCGGCAUGCCUAACACAUGCAAGUCGAACGAGACCUUCGGGUCUAGUGGCGCACGGGUGCGUAACGCGUGGGAACCUGCCCUUAGGUUCGGAAUAACUCCCCGAAAGGGGUGCUAAUACCGGAUAAUGUCUUCGGACCAAAGAUUUAUCGCCCCUGGUUGGGCCCGCGUUGGAUUAGCUAGUUGGUAGGGUAAAAGCUUACCAAGGCGACGAUCCAUAGCUGGUUUGAGAGGAUGAUCAGCCACACUGGGACUGAGACACGGCCCAGACUCCUACGGGAGGCAGCAGUGGGGAAUAUUGGACAAUGGGCGAAAGCCUGAUCCAGCAAUGCCGCGUGAGUAAUGAAGGCCUUAGGGUUGUAAAGCUCUUUUAACCGGGAUGAUAAUGACAGUACCGGGAGAAUAAGCUCCGGCUAACUCCGUG
rnacentral:rRNA from 1 species